GCAGGGGACAUAACUCCUCCAACAAGGAUUAGGCAGGCUAUGGAGAUGCAGGCUGAAGUAGAAAGGAGAAAAUGCGCUCAAGUCCUUGAAUCAGAAGGGAAGAAACAAGCCCAAAUCCUUGAAUUAGAAGGGAAGAAAACUGCCCAGAUCUUUGAAUCUGAAGGUGACGACUUCAUAACCCUUUUUAUCUUUUAGCUCAAUCAGGAGCUUCACAGUGCCAGGUCUUCAUUUGAGCAAGCUCAUUUCAAUCUGUGCAAGGCACCUAAUCAGGACAAUCAACAUGAGGCAUCAUCUCAGAAGAUAGCUUAUAAUAAGCAUGGAAAAAGCAUGGAUUCUUAUGUUGAAGUAGUCGAGGUUGAGUGAGCUCUACGACAUAAAGCAAAAUUGGAAAGGCACCAACGCACAGCUGAGCGAGCGGCGAAAGCCCUUGCUGAAAAGAACAUGCGGGAUAUGCUGGUGCAGAGGGAGCAUGCUGAGAAACAUACUGGCUGAAUUUCUUGAUCCUGAAGUCAAGAGAUGGUCAAAUGGAAAAGAAGGAAAUCUGUGAGCAUUGUUGUCCACAUUGCAAUAUGUACGUAUUUUGGCUUAUAUGACUUCUGUUUGAACCAUGUACAUCUUGGUUACUGUAGGACUUCCACUGGUUCUUAUCAGAAAUUUAUGCCCAUCAUUAGAUUGCCAAUAAAUAAUACUCCUAAUCAUGGGUGCUCCAGUUAAAAAAUGGAUCGUAUGUAAAUUCAUUUUAGACAGCGCAAGAAAUGGUUAGCUACUAUACACCAGAUGAUAUUACAUGCUGCGAAUUCACUUUGCACCAUCAAGCUUAGAGUUACCUCUGUAAUGUGGCUCCCUUGUAUCGGAUUCAUGCUUUGCAGCCCUACCAGAACCUUUUCCCUCCUUGCAGCUACCCCUUUUGUUAAUAUUUCCAUACAUGCUGUAUUUGUCAUCGUUAUUAUAUUUUUCUGCUCUAGAAUAUUUGAGUUCUUUUGUAUGAUCAGCCUUCACCUCAUUAACAAAGUCCUCUGUGCUGCUCUUUUCUGAAUGUCUGUGACUGCUUUCCAAAUCAUUGUGCUUUUCGGCAUUAUUGCCAAAAGAGGUUUUUUCUGUUCUGGAUAUAUACCUCUGCAUACGUA